rnacentral:rRNA from 1 species
UACAGAGGGUGCGAGCGUUGUUCGGAAUUAUUGGGCGUAAAGGGCGCGUAGGCGGCGCCACAAGUCACUUGUGAAAACUCUGGGCUCAACUCAGAGCCUGCAAGCGAAACUGUGGUGCUGGAGUAUGGGAGAGGGAAGUGGAAUUUCCGGUGUAGCGGUGAAAUGCGUAGAUAUCGGAAGGAACAUCAGUGGCGAAAGCGACUUCCUGGACCAAUACUGACGCUCAUGUGCGAAAGCGUGGGGAGCAAACAGG